UCCAAACCUACAAAUAAUCUUUAAACAAAAACCCAAGCCCAGAGUCACAACCUCCCGCCCUUGGGAAAUGCCAGGACUCACACAAACUCCUCAGUCCUCACCGUUUCCCUCUUCCGCUGUCAAAUCACAAACUGAUGAUUCAAAGACGAAACGCUGCGAAUUCUCGAAUCAGUUCUGGUCUUUAAAGACUUGAAAUCGAUGAUCGAAACACGAUCGGAUUUGAAACAGUCCAUGAGAUCCGAAUCUUUCUCUAUCAUCCACCAAAUCAAGAUAAAAUUGUCAAACAGAAGCUUUUCACUCUCCAAUUAUGUGUUGGCGCUUUCGCUCUCACAGGCGAUAUUGAGGCAGCCACAAACUCCUUGUCAAAUUUUAUCCGUCAAUUAAUUAAAUUACUAGCAAUCUCUACAUGAAUUAUGUGUGCAGAGUUGUUUGUCGCUGAAAUAAGAGGCAUUGCUUUUGCGUGAUGUUAAGUCUACCGGUGAAAAAUCGCUACUAGUUUCGUAUCUGGAAUGGCUAAAUUUUGAUCGCCAUUGACUUGAUAACGGCUUCUAUUCUAUUGCUAUACAGUCGUGUGAAAAGUCCCUAGCAUGUUUUGAAAAGAAUGACAUUGCAGAUACGAAAACAGGUGAGUUCUUCGAAAAUGCUCAGAUUAUUGAAGAGAUAAAGAGGUUCAAGAACCGUGACGUGAAAGUCUGCAGCUUCAGGUUCUGGUAUGUUUCUAUUCUCUUGUUUUUAAUCUUUUUACAUGGAUGCAUAGCAUCUGAUCAGCUAUGAUAAUCAAUCAGGCUUAUGAAAUGCGUACUUCAAUGAUAGCUUGUGCUGUGUUACACACACACACACGCACACACAGCUUUGAUCUCUUAGUUUUAUGUUGAUUUUGGAAGCGAAUAUUAUACAUUCUACAUGCCACGUUCUGCUGAUAAAGAUAGAAGUGCAAACAAGAGAGCACAGUUUGAAGUGUACUGCAGGAUACUUUAAUCGUUGCUGCAAGGAAGAAAGCCUACUGGGCUUGUCGAAUUUGGUGUUCGAAAUUCAUAAACUGCAGCGAAAUGAAAUUAAGCUUGUAGAGAUCGUGGAUGCAAUGGAAUGGUAAAAUUUAUGCUGGCACUGAUGAUGAGAUUACAAGUUCUCACUUCAAAAGCUAAUUCAUGUGAAAAAGACUGCCAUUAUGUUGUGCCAGUUUUCGAUGCACAUAUUGGUGAAAUUUUUUGAUAUUAUGUACCAUGCCAGAGUUUUAGCAUGACUCAGGAGUUAUUCCAAGAUGUUUGUGUAUGGAUUUCAUAGCUUUUUAUAGGAGUGUCCAGAACAACUCUUUACGUUUCUUUUCCUGGCAGUGGAUAAUUUAAAUAUAACUGUAUCCUUGUUUACGAGCUUUUGUGGAGUUUCAUGUCAUGGCGAACUCAGGGUAAUUAACAUAAGCUUCGAGAUAGCUUCAACAUAGAUAAUAAGCAGGGCAUGCAGCAUUUCUUUGUGUGUUUUAAUUCCAAAAAGCAAGGAGACUAGUGAUCAAAUUUAAAUAGAGCAGUUUGGCCAUUUACGGUGUAGUAUGCUCUGCUAAUUUUGCGCCUCUUAUUCUCAAUUUAACAGAAUUCACGACCGUGGCCCAUUUGGAUGGAUUAUAAAUUUUUAAGUGAUUUACAUUAGCAAUUACCACUCGAGGUUUCACACAGAGAUUUUGGGAUAUAUAAUAUAUGUUCUUUUAUUUUCAUGCAGCUAUCAUCUCAGAUUCUACAUGAGGUUAGACAUCACUUUUAUUCAUAUGACAUUAGCUUUAAUCUAUAAAUCUUUGGCAAUGAACUCGUUAAUGUUGGACCUCAGGAAUAACUACUUUGGAUUUAGUGCAACUAUUUUGUGGAUAUUUAUGUGGUUCUCAUUUCUCCAAGUGAUUAAGGGUUGGUAAAUAAGAUUCAUGUCAAACUCUUUUAAACAUUCCUUUUCGUUUGAUGGUUACAAAUUCUGUUCGGUCAUUCCAGUCCAGGCACAAGCGGCUGAGUAAUUGAAAAGGAAAAUAGCUGAGAAGAGCAAAAUAUGCUCUUCAUUUCAUAGAGAAACGAAGAGUGCUGCUAGCACUCCGUUUAGAAAUGGAAUCAAGAAGCGGAAUGCACAUGUAUUGCGUAAACGCCACAGUUUGCAGCAGAAUGUUGAAUUAUAACUUUGUUGCCAAAUUUACCUGUCCUCACGGAAUUUGUUUGUAUGACUGCAAAGUUGUAUCAAGUCACUUCUCGUUGUUAACUACAAGCUCUUUCCCCUUAAAUUGUAACGAUUCUGAAGACAGAGAUGCUUUUCUACUCCAUUCAAUCAAAAGAACAUCAGUGGGACAAGAAGGGAAGAGAUUGGUCUGGAUGACAUGCUCUGCUGGUUUGUCUUGGAUUAGCCAUAUCAAGUGUAUGCUGUCAGGAAAGGCUUCUCUUCUGGUGCCUCUCGAGUCUGGUCAGCCAAUAUCACUAACAAAGAGAUUCAUUCAUGAGCCAUGGUAUGUGAAGUGCUUGUCACCUUAAAAUAUAUAUUUCAAACUCUAGAUUGAAGAUGACCUCUUCAAUUUUUGAAGUAUUAAACCAUAAAGGAGUUUAUUAUGAGGACAAAACGUAGCUCUGCAGCAACAAAUUAACACGGCCCAUGUUCGUGUGCAUGCUCACGUGCUUUCCUCUUGCUUCAGGCCUAAUGUUUUUCUUGAUUUCCACCGAACUGAUAAUGCAGACCUUGCAUUUUGAAUAGAAUUGGUCACCUUGGAAAUCCAACAUGGACUCUGUUCAGGCAACUGAAUUUCAAGUCUCUGUAGCCAUGAGCCCCUCACUUGCGAUGUUCGCUUUUGUCAAAUAAUACCCUCUAAUCUUCACCCC